UUGAUAUGUCCAAAAAUAUUGGUAUUGGCACAAAUGUAAAUACAACAGGGGAUAAUACUA
rnacentral:sRNA from 1 species